rnacentral:rRNA from 1 species
ACGGAGGGUGCAAGCGUUAUUCGGAAUCAUUGGGCGUAAAGGGCGCGUAGGCGGCUUUGUAAGUCAGAUGUGAAAGCCCGGGGCUUAACCCCGGAAGUGCAUUUGAAACUACAAGGCUUGAGUAUGGGAGAGGAGAGCGGAAUUCCUGGUGUAGAGGUGAAAUUCGUAGAUAUCAGGAGGAACACCGGUGGCGAAGGCGGCUCUCUGGACCAAUACUGACGCUGAGGCGCGAAGGCGUGGGGAUCAAACAG